AUGGACGAAAGUCUGACGGAGCAACGCCGCGUGAGUGAAGAAGGUUUUCGGAUCGUAAAACUCUGUUUUCAGGGACGAAUGUGUGGAUUGUAAAUAAUGAUCCAUAAUGACGGUACCUGACAAGAAAGCCACGGCUAACUACGUGCCAGCAGCCGCGGUAAUACGUAGGUGGCAAGCGUUGUCCGGAAUUAUUGGGCGUAAAGCGCGCGCAGGUGGGAUAAUCAGUCUGAUGUUAAAGUUCGGGGCUUAACCCCGUGAAGCAUUGGAUACUGUUAUUCUUGAGUGCAGGAGAGGAAAGUGGAAUUCCUAGUGUAGCGGUGAAAUGCGUAGAUAUUAGGAGGAACACCAGUGGCGAAGGCGACUUUCUGGACUGUGUCUGACACUGAGGCGCGAAAGCCAGGGUAGUGAACGGGAUUAGAUACCCCGGUAAUCCUGGCCGUAAACGAUGGGUACUAGGUGUUGGGGGUAUCGACCCCUCCAGUGCCGGAGUUAACGCAAUAAGUACCCCGCCAGGGGAGUACG
rnacentral:rRNA from 1 species